AGGGGUUUAGGUUAAAUCAAGACCAAGAGCCUUCAAAGCUCUAAGUAAGCUGAAUUUCUUAACCUCUG
rnacentral:tRNA from 1 species